CACGUAGGGGGCAAGCGUUGUCCGGAUUUAUUGGGCGUAAAGAGCUCGUAGGCGGUUCGAUAAGUCGGGUGUGAAAACUCUGGGCUCAACUCAGAGACGCCACCCGAUACUGUCGUGACUGGAGUCUGGUAGGGGAGUGUGGAAUUCCCGGUGUAGCGGUGAAAUGCGCAGAUAUCGGGAGGAACACCAGUGGCGAAGGCGGCACUCUGGGCCAGUACUGACGCUGAGGAGCGAAAGCGUGGGGAGCGAACAGGAUUAGAAACCCCCGUAGUCC
rnacentral:rRNA from 1 species